GACUGAUCACCCCAAACCCGGAUUGCUGGUGAAAGAUCCCCAAGACUGGGCUGAGCAGGCGGUGCACACCCUCGGCCUCUCCUCGCACGCCUCUGGGCGCCUCAGCCACGAGGUGCAGAGCUUCCUGAUAGGUCUCCUGCCCUCCUGGGGUAUUUUCAGACGCUGGGGGAUCAACCUUGGGAAACUUCUGGCAUCUUCCAAGGAAAAACCAUAGGGCAAGGGGUGACGUAGGCAUGGGGGCUGGUCUACUCGCUCUUGUUUUCAAUAUCCUGGGCCAGGACUGUGGAUUUUGGAAUCAAUGUGCAGACCGGCCAGUGCAGCAGAACUGGAUGCCAGGAAUUGACGUUUAGACCUUUGCAGGGAACAACGGGAGUUUCUAACCCGUGAUGCCAAAACAAGGACAUAGCUCUUUGGAGGAGGGGGAUGUAUGUCACUGUAUCUAUUUAUACACACAACUUUAUGAUCAUAAUAAAAAGCCACUGGUGUGUACCCCUGCAAAGGGUAACUGUAGAGCCUGCGAGUUAUUUC